ACUUGCCGAUCAGAAGGUUGGCGAUUCGGAUCCCCGCAACAGGGUGAGCUCCCGUUGCUUUGUCCCUGCUCCUGCCAACCUAGCAGUUCGAAAGCAUGUCAAAGUGCAAGUAGAUAAAUAGGUACCGCUCCAGCAGGAAGGUAAACGGCGUUUCCAUGCGCUGCUCUGGUUCGCCAGAAGUGGCUUAGUCAUGCUGGCCACAUGACCCGGAAGCUGUAUGCCAGCUCCCUCAGCCAAUAAAGCGAGAUGAGAGUUGGUCAUGACUGGACCUAAUGGUCAGGGGCCCCUUUACCUUUACCUUUACUAAGUCCCAUUGAACUGGGUUGGACUAAUUCCUGCAUAGGAGUAGCCAGCACAGCCCAUCAAACACUACAAAGUGCCGCACAACAAAAACUAACCAAAUGGGUCAGGGUCGGGGGACUCUUAUCAGCCUGGGGGCCACAUUCUCUCAUGGACAAAUUUCUUGGGGCCACUUGCAUUGCUGAGAGGGGCCAGAGGCGAGUAGGUAGGGUUAUGGGUGUGAUUCUUUGCCUUUGUACAGUAAGCCACAUUCUAGGCAUGCCAAAGGCAGAUAUUUAUAUACACACAUCUCUCUCCAUCUAGGCAAGCAAGGGCCAUUUUUACAGUUCAAGAGCACUUUCCAGCCAGGCAAAAACUUUUGAAGAGAGUGUGGAGGAGGGGCAUGGCUUGGGGACAGUUCAGAAGACGGAUAAAGGGCCACAUUUGACCUCCAGGCCUAAGGUUCUCCCACCUGACCCAGACAGACUUGCCAGCUAUCGGGAAAUCCUCACAUUUUAGGUAAGUCCUGGGUUUGGAGCUUGUUUUGUGUUUUAAGUUCUUAUUUAAGGGGAACCAUAUUGGGUGCGUGAAACAUUUAUUUGUUACAUGUGCAUAUCACCUUUCCAAGGCGCAUAGCACUGUGUUUUUAUCCUAAAGCAGCUCUGUGAGGUAGGAUAGGCUGAAAGAUUGCCGUUCUCUUAUGGCCACCCAGUUUGCUUCAUCAUUAAGUAGCGACAAGACUUUUUGCUUCUCACACCCCAGCCCAACACUCCUGCCUAUUGUGCCACACUAGCUGCCGAGGAGCAUUUGGCAAAUGUAUGCCUCCUCAACAGGAGCCUUGUGUUUUAUUCUCUCACAUCCCCCGCCUCAUGCAACCGCGGAGAUGAAAAACAAACUCCAUGUGGGAAAGUUCCCAGCCGGGUUAUUUUGGCUGCCUUGGGUGGAAACGUGUUAUCGGCCUAUGUGACUCAGGAGCAACUCAGACACCGUCUGCUCCCAGCUUCCCUUCCUGGGAUAGCCUGGUAUUAACCCAUCCAGGGCUAGCAGGAGGUCAGUUCUGCUUCAACAAGCUUGCCCUGAGGCUGUAAGGAAGGAACAUGGGCUGUUUUUGUCCAUGUCGUGCUUCAGCUGGUUUGGGGUGGCUUUCAGUCUUGAGCCUCACCACUGCUCUCUGGGAGGUGAUGUAGUAGACUGGCAAGGAGGAGUGUGAACUGUGACCCAGAGCCUGUGUGGUGGUUACUGUGUUGGACUAAGACCUAGUAGACCAAGGUUCUUCAAAUCCCCACUCAGCCAUGAAGCUCACUGGGUGAGCUUGGAGCAAUCAUGGAUCCUCAGCUUAACCUACCUCACAGGGUUGUUGUGAGGAUAAAAUGGAGUGGGAGAACCAUGUACUUACUCCACGUUGAGCUCCUCAGAGGAAAAAAAUGUGGGAUUGAAAUGUAAUAAAUUAAUUAAUCCCCAGUUCAAAUCCCUCCUCAGUCACAAACCAGGGCCUCAGCGGAUUCUCGAUCCCAUUCCUCAACCCCAUUCUUUGUGUUUCUUUACAGCAUUCAACCCCAACAGGAUUGCCACCAGCUUUUCUUUUUUUUUAAUUCUCAGUCUAAUUUGUUUUUAUAUGACAUUUAGUUGUUUUUUUAAUUCUAAGUUUAAUUUGUUUUUAUAUGGCAUUUUUAAUAUGGCAUUUAUCUUUGGGCCUUUCCCCACCCCCCUGUAGAACUGGCAUUUCUCUGUCUUCCUCCCUCCCUUUCCUAACCGCACUGUAAUACUCCUUACUGUUCAGGCAAGUCUUGGCAUCCUUCAGGGCUUUAUGUUGACAAGGAAAUCUGCCCAAAUCCACAAAUGGAGUGUCUAGAGUGGGACUUUCUGGCAGGGAUUUCCUUGUACGCAAGGGAGAUGAAACUUGCACAGCAUGCCUUAUUCAGCCUUGCAAAUUCUAGUCAACUAAAAUUAUUAAUCCGUAACAUUAUUUUUUUUUUACUUGCCCACCUGACCAGAGAGUUACUGGAUUAGUGAUUUGUGGUGUAAAAGAAACAAGUGCUGUAAACAUCCCUUGCUAGUUGCCUGGAAGCGUUUUUUACCACAAGCAACCAGGUGAAUGAGUAUUUACAAGCGAGCACAGAAUCGUAUUAUUACUGCCCCUCCUCAGACAUUCUCACACACCUUCUGUGCAUGUUCACUUGCGCACACACUUUUGCUCUCAUCUUUCUUCAGACACCAUGUAAACAAACACGCUUUGUGACAGCUCUGAGGAUGCUCAUGUUUUAUAGCAUGUUAUAGACAGUACAUACACAGAUGCACUUUCCCACAUACUACCCAAAGACAAGACCUUCCACAUUCUGCAUCAGUUGCUCGCAAUGCACCACCGCUCUCUGCACAUUUGCAGAACAUAAAAGCAACGCUGUUUUCAGCCAAACAUGCACUGUGCGCUAAACAUACGCUGUGCCAUUCUUUACACCGAGUGUUCCUCACCCCCCACAAACACACCCACAGGCUGUAGUUAGUAUACCCCUACAUACUCCCACCUACCCUCUGCAGGCUUUGACAAUUCACCCUAUCACAAACCCCACACCACGUACAUCACCCUCUCUGUGCACAUAUACACACACCCUGUCUCUGGCGUGCGGUUCCUUGGCAGCUGUUCUGCUCUAGGCACGUCCUAGUUGGAGAAGCCGCCCACACUUAAAAACAGAUGAUUUCACAGAAAAGCAAACAGGGGAGGCACAACAGGGGAGGAAGAAUAUUUAGGAAUGGGAGUCAGAGGUCAGGAAAAGGGUCCUUAGCUGUCAUUGUUUAGAUACUUUGGCUGCUUUGAAGCAAUCUCUCUGGUUGUGGGGAAUGGGAAAACAAGAGAAGAGGUUGGAUGUCUUAGAAUAUAUUUAUAUAGCAAUUCAUUGCUUAGCACUGGUGUACAAUUGCCUCUGAAGUGUGGUGCAUUACCCAUUCGGACAGAACGGAACAACACCCAGCUCUGGAACAGGAAGUGAUUAAUUCCAUGAAGAGCAGCCAGGGAAUUUUAGGGAGCAGGAAGAGCAGAAACGGCUGGCUGGGCAAUGAGCCAGAAUUCUGGGGCUUGUACCCCAGCUCCAAGCCAAUGUGUUUGGGCUUGGGGGUUACAUGACUUUUGAGAAGCAGGAUACUCCACUCCCUUUGUGCCACAGUAGGAUGCUAGGGUGAGGGCUGGUUCUAAGUGGACAUAGGCACCCGCAGCCCAAGAUCCCCCCCUAAUCCACUCUCUUUUCUGUGCCCACUGCUUGAGCCUCAGAAGUCUGCAGCCAGCCCUGGCUCCUUACAAAACUGCCUCUCAAGCAUCCCUCCCUCUCUCCCAACCAACUCAAGGCGUCAUCUAUUCCGUCUGGUCUCUGCUUAGCGGUGGUAUUCCAGCAGCUGGCAAAGCUGUAAACAGGCAGGUAGACAAGCCAACACCCCAGUGCUGAAGCCAAGUUGCUCCUACCUGGUCAUUAACUCCCAGUUUGCUAAUGACCUUUAAUAGCUGCUAAUUACAGCCUGGGCAAGGGAGGGACACAGCCAGGUGCCAGUGUCCAGAUCAGAGAGAUCCAGAGCAUGUUUAGGGGCAAGGGAUGCUGUAGGGCCAGAGAGGGUGGGAAGGGAAGAAGCAGACCCAAAGGAGAAAGAGAGAGGUAGAGAAUGUGUGAGUUGGGGAAGGGCUGUACCUCACUGGUAGAAGGUCCCAGUUUCAAUCCCCAGCAUCUCCAGGUAGGGCAGGGAGAAGUCCCUCUCUGAAGGCCUGGAAAGCUGCUUGUCAGCAUAGUAUUGAGCUGGAUGGAGCAAUGGUCUAACCUGGUAUGAGGCAGCUUCCUAUCUUUUUACGUCCCUUGUUGGACUGACUUUGGAGGCAGCCUUCCCAGGAGGACACAGCUGAAUGAACCUAGCACAGCGAGGCCUCUGCUUUAGUCUCCAGUUGGGAUUUCCCAGCUGGCAGUGAGGGGCAGAGAGAGUCAAUUUGGGGCUGUCCCCAAGGUCAGAACAGGGAACUACAUAAAUGAUCCAGCAAUAAAGUCACCCACCCCAUUUCUAGACCAUUCGAUGCCCCUGUUUAGGUUGGGAUCUGCAUAAGGCAGGAUCUUGUAGUCUGAGAUUAGCAGGUGUUGGGGGAAGGAGAAGAGGACUGAGGCAAUGAGGCAUGGACUACUUUCCCUUAUUUUGAACAGGGUUGUUAUUCUGUCAAUCUGUCAUACCUACUUUUGGAGCACAUCAAGGAUGCACUUUUAUCUGUUUAUUGCAUUUAUAUCCCACUGCUCCCCCCCCCCCAGGAGCUGAAGGUGACGUACAUGGUUCUCCCUUGCCUUAUUUACACCUCACAACAAUCCUGUGAGGUAGGUUAGGCUAAGAGGCAGGGGCUGACCCAAAGACCCCCAUUGAGCUUCAUGGCUGAGUGGGGAUUUGUACCCUGGUCUCCCAAGUCUGAGUCCGACACUGGCUCUAACCACUAUACUACACAUGGGUGAGGAUGAGAUGGAGAUGUCUUCCCGAACUGCUCCUUCCUUAGAGCCAAGAAAUCCAUAACUGUUUGGCCGCUGUGAAGUGGGAGAGCAUUCGCAGUGAAAUUAGUUGCAGCCAAGAGACAGUAAAAUAUGUCUUUGGGCUGUCCAAAAAACAAGAGUGCUUGGACUGGGAUCAAAACUCUUCCACGCAUCUCUCUCCGCCUCCUCCUCCUCCUCCCCCAGCAGAUGUUCUCACCAGAGACCCCUCUCCCACCCUUGCCAGUGCCCACUUCAGAGCAGCCACGGCUCUGACCCCGGCUAGCAUACAGAGCCUUUCCCGGCAGGCAAGUGGCUGAGCCCAGGGCCCUGCUGGGAAGGGAAGUCUGCUCUCUGUGACUCAUGCACUGGGCGAGGCAAUCCCCCCUCCCUUCUUGACCGCAGCCACCACCAGGCUGUAGUCCAGAUAGCAGUGGGGAGGAGGGAGGUGAAACACAGCACGCAUGCACGCACACACAAGAGAGCUCAACUCAAUCCUUCCCUCCUUCUCUCUGUAUACUUGGAUGGCUCCCCUAAAAUCCCCAUGUGUUGCAGGCAGUGUGUUUGCCAUAAGAGCUGUACACUACUUUCUAAUGUGCACAUACAAAUGUUUGUUUAGUGCUGUGUGUGCCUGCGUGCAUGUAUACAGAGCAUCUGGCCUUGCAUGCAUAUGUGGUGUGUAUGUGUUACAGAAGAGGUGUGGCAUACAAAUGUUGUGUUUUAUUUUUUAAUGCAUCCUUUUUCUGUAACAUGGCAAGUAGUGUGUGUGUUAUGGCUGGGUUGCAUAUAGUGUGUCUCUGGGUGUACGCGCACACACACCUUGGGUUUGUGAAUGGCGCUCUGUUACUGCAGCCCUAUGUUUUGUGCUUGUGGACUUGGAUCCCCAAGUUCUCAGGCUGUGUACACGUGUAUACAUUUCUGAAAACUGUGCAACCACUUGGAUUUAUGAGUUUUGCUGUAUGUAGUACCACAAACUUCUGUCCAUUUUGCCCUGUACAUCAUUUAGGAUAACUAUUUCCAUGGUUUUGUUAAUUGGCUAUGCGUUACCUCCAGUGCAGUGUGUCACGUAUGUUCUGUGACCGUGUGUCUUUCUGGGAAGUGUUGUUUGGUGUGGUUGUGCCUCUGUGGCUGUCGGGCUAAGUGCAUCUGAGGCUUCGCUACAGGUAAAGGCAGGUGGUGUACCCAGUGACCUUGUUUCCUUCACCCCUUGCUGUGGCAUGCAAAGGGAAGCAGUCGGGACUUGCAGUGGGAGGAGAACAGAGAGAGGAGCCCGGCUAGCACAGUUCCCUGUUCCCAUGACAGCAAGGAGACCGUGAAUUGGGACAUAUCCCCACACCCAUUAUGGCGCAAGUUUUGCUUAUGUCACACACCAUUGCCAUGGUAGCAGCUGCUUCCUUUAUUGUCUGGCAGAUCCCGGGACCUCAACAAUGAACUUCCUGUCAUGGGAGGGAAGGAGCUUUCCAGCUGGGGGUGGAAAGGGAAGGGGCAAAGGUGACUGCUAGGACCUGAGGCCUUUCUACCUAGAGGGCUUUGGGUUCAGCCAGCUGCAUAAACCACGUACCAAACAAGAUCCACUGCCAGCACAAGAUCCACUCCCCAAAUUAUAGCCGUUUCCCACCCCCAAUCACUUUUCUUCUGCCAAUAACACAACAUGUACAUGGCUUAUCCUCAGUGUGGUGUUCCUUGUUGUUUUGGAUAGCCCCAAAGCCCAGACCCUUAUGUCUUUAUAGGUUGCCUCCCUGCAGGGGGCAGGCCUGGUGCCAGUGUGGAGCUUGAUAUUCGAGAACAUACCCCCCACUCCCAGCUUCCCUCUCUUAACUGGGCUUGGUCUAGCACAGCUGCUGGGAAAGGGAGCGGAGCUGAGCUGACGCAGGGAUAGUGUGUGGGGAGCAGCUCCCAGGCCUUGGAGUGCAGCCCAGUUUGAGUUAACCCUUCCCUGAGCACCAAUGCACGAUGUGCCAAUCUGUGGGGGAGGCAGCACUUGCUUCCAGCUCUGUGGGCAAAUGGCAGUGAUUCACCACGGGAUCCACCCACCCACCGUCCAGGAUCCCCAGCUGUGUGCCAUCGCAAUGGGGAGCAAGGAGUAAGCCACAAAGGGGGCAAAAGAAUGGGGCAAAGGCAAGUAAAUAGAAACUAAAUGAGAAGCAUAGUACAGUGGUACCUCGGGUUACAUACGCUUCAGGUUACACACUCCGCUAACCCAGAAAUAGUGCUUCAAGUUAAGAACUUUGCUUCAGGAUAAGAACAGAAAUCAGGCUCCAGCGGCAGCAGGAGGCCCCAUUAGCUAAAGUGGUGCUUCAGGUUAAGAACAGUUUCAGGUUAAGAACGGAGCUCCAGAACAAAUUAAGUACUUAACCCGAGGUACCACUGUAUGCUACUGGCACUUCCCAAAGAGAGAAUGCUUCCACAUCUCUUUGCUUACUUACUAGGCACAUAUUUGACAUGGAUCUAAGAUGAUUUAGAGGGGAAAGAGGUGUUCUAUCCAGUUUUCAAGCCCUCAUGUCCCACCUUCUCCCACAUCAGCCAGCUCUCCUAGCUGUGGUCUGGAAUUGAAUCAAUAUGCACACAGGGCACUUCCAAGUUGUUGCUGUUUGCAAGUGGGAUUUGAUCACAUUCUGGUAAUUAUUCAGGUUGAGUAAUUAUAGUUGAUUGAGCAGGGGGGUGUCUUGCGCAACUCACCCACUUUCACAAAAUAUCAUAUUUUUUGCGAUAAAGAAAGUAAUGGGGAAAUGCACUUGGAAGUGUAGGAUGACACUUGCCUUGAUGCAACAUCAUCUAACCUCCCUAUGAACAAAUCAGAACGAAUGCUCCUUAAAUCAGGUCUGGGGAACCAUUGACCUCCAGAUGUUGCUGAACUACAACUCUCAUCAGCAUUAGCAAGCAUAGCCAGUGACCCUAAUUGAUGGGGCUUGUAGUUCUACAACUAAGGGCCUGUUUAUGCACAGCUAUUGUUCAUGUGUUGCACAAGAUCCAGGCAUAAAUGGCAUUUCAACAAAAGGAAAUGCUUCAGACCAGUAGUUUCCUAACAGUUCACACAUGCAAGACAAACCCAUCCACACAGAGAUUUUCCUCGCUCCCCCAGUAUUUUUAUUUUUAUUAUUUUAAUUUAGUGCUGCCAUAAGCUAUAUCUAUUAUCUCUCAAAGUAGCAUUUCUGUUGCAGGAGCAUGAUUUUCCCAGCAGUCAACCUGCAAUAUUUUGCCACUUGGGAAAUAUUAUUCCAGCCCACCCAUUGUGAUUGUAAGUGGUGUGUGGGAUAUCAUUAAGUGUGGCAGGCACCAAAUGGAUCGUGCCUGAAUCUUUACAAAAUUGUCUGUUUUUUUCGUUGCUGUACCACUAAAGAAUAGAGCACGCAUGUGAACCGAGUUUUUAAAAUAAAAUACUAGCAAGGAUUCCCUGUCAUAGCCCUGUCAUUUCAAAUGUUUUUAUUUACUGCUUGGAAGUCUGUGGACUUUAUUUUCAGCCCCAGAGCAUGAAUCUCCCCUGUUUUUCUUUAACAUCACAAACAGGAAUAUGACUGCCUUCCCUGCUACAGGUAUCCCCUCCUUUCUCUUAGGUAGGAGCAGAAUACUAUAUUGUGAUACUGACGCCUAAUGCAUGCUAGUGCAAAUAUAACACUAGUGCUAAAAUCCUGUGCCCAAUUUCCUGAGAGUAAGUCUGCUCAGUGGGAGGAAACUGAUUUCUUGGAUCCAUAUCUUCCCCAGGUUUGGUACAAAAACUAUUUUGGUUGACAUGUAUCAGGAGAGAGAAGGAGCGUGUCCCUGUCGGUUUUCCUUGAUGUCUCAGUAGCUUUCAGUUUCAUUGGCCAUAUAGUGGCUUUCUGGGGUAACUGUCUGAAUUGGGAGUUGAUGGGUACUGUGGUGCUUGGGGGAUAUAGCUCAGUUCUGUGGAUGGUCCUGUAUAGAGUUUCUCAGGUGUUCUCUCCCAUGUAUUUAACAUGAAGCCACUGGGUGUGGUCAUUCCGAGCUCUGUAGCACAUUAUCAUCAGUACACUGAGAUGGUGCAGCUCAAUUCUCCUUUUCAUCUUUGGCUGGUGAGGUGGCGGAUCUGCUGAACUGGUGUCUGGUCAUAGCAAUAGACUGGAUGGAGGUCAAUAAACCUAAGCUCAGUCCAGACAUGACCAAAAUGCUAUUAGUGGGUGGUUCCUCUGAGCAAAGGAACAGUCUCUAGCCUGUUCUAGAUGGGGUCAUACUUCAGGGUUCUCCUGGAUUUGUUACUGUUAACUUGAGGCACACUGAGGUGGCCUCAGUUGUGCAGAAUGCUUCCCCCCCAGCUUCAGCUUGGUAGCCUAGCUAUACCCUUUUCUGGCCAGGAAUAAUUUGACUUUAGGAACCUACAGAUUAGAGAACAAAAACGCCUGUACAUGAAGGUGCCUCUGAAGAUGGUUUGGAAACUGCACCAUAUGCAGAAUGCCCAGGUCAUAUUGCUGUCUGAGAGUCGGCAGUUUGGCAUGGCACCUGUCUUAGUACAACUGCAGUGGCUGCCUAUAUACAAUUUCGAGCCCAUUAAAAAAGUGCUAGUUUAAACCUAUAAAGCUUUAUACAGUUUGAGAUCCCAAUACCUAAAAUAACGCUUCUCCUGGCAUGAAACUACCCAGGACCUUAGAUUCUCAUCCAUGGCCUUUCUCCUUAUGCCUCCCUUCAAGAGAGAUUUGGCGGGUGGCAAGAAGGCAGGUAGUUGUGCCCCCCAUCCCAGUCUAUGGAAUGCUCUUCCCAGAAAGGCCCCCCUAACACCAACACUUACAAUUACUGUAUUCUUUUUGCGCCUGGCUUUCUUCUUCUCCUCAGCAUGUGAUAGAAUACGAUGAGACAAUUGCCUUGGCUUAUUUGUUGGGCAUAUCCUGAGUUGUUGAUAAUCUUUUUGUUCUUGGAGGUCGGUGUGCUUUUUAACUUUGCUUCAUAUUUCUGAUAAGUCACCAAGAAUUAGACAACUAACAAAUUAAUUAAAUUAAUGAUGAAGUAAUCUCCUAGGCCCAUGAGUCUGAGAAUGAUCAGAUGGUGCCACCUACAAACACGCCCCCCCAAUGAUGCUCAAAUCAGCUGACUUUUUCACGUUACCAAAUUCAUACUAAGGCUUAUUCCUAUAUAGACAUUUCUACCAUGCUGUUCUAAAGCAACUGUUAAUCAAGGAAGCACGCAACAAUUAAAACCAACAAAUCAUCAUAAAAUAUUGUUAUUUUAAAAAUGCAAGGUGGACUAGCAUGGCAGUUUGUUGGGUGGUCGUCCAAUCAGGAGACAAGAGAGAUAAAGAAACAAAAAACAUCCUGAGAGAAUUUUUUGCUUUCAGACCCCUUGCCUAAGAACUAAAGGCCAAGACUAGCUUAUUUUCCUCUUGGCUCUUAAAGAAAAGAAGAAUACCAUCUGGGGUUUAUCAGAUCCUGUCAUAACAGGCCUUGGGAAAGCCUUAAAGACCUAUUUUUUCUCUUUGGCUUUCUUUUGAGCUGUUGCUGUAUUGGAGGGCUGGUGGCUGGAUAGUUGGUUUAUUACAAUCACUGGCUUUUAUUAAUGAACUGAGCAGGUUUCUGUACCUUCUCUUCUGUAAACAACAUUGGGAGGGUUUCACUCACACUCUUCAAAAUAUUUUAAAUAAUUGAAAAUGAAUUUCAACAGAUUUUGUCCUGAAGCUGCAAAAACACAGUAGGCUCUGCCUCAGCACUCACCCAAAGAUGCUGCACCCUGCCCUGCCUCAUGUAUUCAGUCCUGGAAUCAUUAUGGAGUUCUGGAUGCCAGAUUUUUUAAAAAUAUUAUUUCAAGAGGUGGCAAACCAGAUUCCUACACAUAAGCGAAGAAAGGUGAACUCCGCAUGUAGACAGUCAUCUGAGAGGAUCUUAAAGCAUGUACUCUGCUGCACACCUUCUGUGCAGGAAUUUGGAAACCUGUGAUGUUGCCUUACGCGGAAAAUAGCAACAGUUGUGUGUUUUUGCAAAUUCAGAGGCUGUUGUGGGGGGGCAGGCCUUGUGUGUGUGGAUCCUACUCUUUCCUUGUGUAUUCCAAACAAGAGGCUAGAAAGAGGAAGCCACAAGGCCCCCAGAAUCCUCUUCAGUUUCCCGGCUGAAUGUUAUUUUUAUUAUUUAUUAAUUCAUGAAUCAUGUUUUUAAUGCCUGUCAAAGUGAUUUACAAACACACACACACAUGCUAGAAAUAGUUUUAAAAACAGUACACACAGUACACCUACACCCCGGAUAUAGGUGUAAAAACAAUGCAAAAUGAACAUCUAAGGCAGAGACUUUUUCGCCCAGCUGGAAAAGCAAAUAGCAGCAUGUUUGUUUGUCGUUGGGUGCAUAGGUAGUGGAAAGCCACAGGCAAUCCUAAAGCAUGUGCCUGUGUAAUACAUGCAUUUGUCAUACAGUUGUACAACAGGAAGAGACCGCGAGGGUCAUCUAAUCCAACUCCCUGCAAUGCAGGAAUCUUUUGCCCAAUGUGGGACUUGAACUCACGGCCCUGAAAUUAAGAGUCUCGUGCUCUACCAGACAAGCUAUUUGUCACAUGCAUGCAAACUCUGUGUCUUUACAUGUACAUGGAAGAAACAUAAUGUGCGAAGCGGCCCAAACGGGGAGAGGCAAUUGAGAAUGGAUGUAGAUUUUGUGGCAGGGCAGCGGCAGGGAAUGAGAGGCAUAACUUUUUGGAUAGCACGGGAUGGGUGUGGGGAAUGGGGAAGCUUCCCACUGAGUCGAUCCAACUUCUUGUGCCCUAUCCAGCUCCAUCUGGCUCGGUCUGCACCUCCCUGCAGGGCCCCCUCCCCGCCCUUUGCAGCUGUGUCGCCUCCGGCUUGGAGCCAUUUGGAUUUUGCAAACUAAGCAAGGUCAGGCCAGGAGAAAAUGUGGAAGCGACAGCCCUGGGGAAAAACUAGGGUGCUGCAAGGGCACUCCCUUCAGCGUCAAAGCCUUCAUAGCCGUGCUAUUCCAGUGCCAGGAAGCACUGUAAUUAUUGGGGUCACGAGGCUAUGCCUUUUGUAAUAGCUGGCUCAAUCAAAGCUUUCCCUUUUGCAAGCAGUGCGCCCCCAGUUGACUUAAGGCGGCAGCAGGGUGUAGCGCUCUGGCGAGAGGUGCCUGCUCCAGACAGCACUGAAACGCAGGCAUUCGCAGCCAUUCAGUUUGAGUAAUUCCAGCCACCUCCUUCACUUCCUCUCCUAAAUUGCCCAGCAGGAUUGUUGUGUGGCAAUUAGAGAGCAAGCUGCUCUCCGCCCCAGAGGCAGCUGCAUCGCAGAGAUCCCUUUAUAAACAGCUGCUCAUGCCCUAGAGAGAACUGUAAACUCGGCUCUGGACAAGGAAGGCAUCAGUGUUUAACUCAGUAAAGCUCUUUAAUGUCUUCUGGCGGAAAUGAUACCGGACAUUGUUGCCUGGUUCCUGCUUGCACACACAGAACCUCACUGUCCUCUCUGGGGCAAGUCAGAAUUGUCCUAAAUUAUUUUCUUUUCAUCUCAUACCUAUCCCCAGUCUCUGUUUUCGUCUCUUUGGAGAUUAUUGCCAACCAUCGCCUUUAUUAUUAUUAUUAUUAUUAUUAUUAUUAUUAUACCCCGCCCAUCUGUCUGGGUUGCCCCAGCCACUCUGGGUGGCUACAUAAUAAAACAUCAAACAUUAAAAACUUCCCAAUACAGUGCUGCCUUCAGAUCUCUUCUUAAAGUUGUAUAGUUCUUUAUCUCCUUGACAUCUGAUGGGAGGGAGUUCUGUAUCCUCAAGGAUUUCAUUGCACACAGAUCUGGAAACGUGGGUUUUACCAUCUGUUUCCCACAGAAUAAUGUAGGAAUCAAUGGGAACCAGGAUUUCUGUCUUGGACAAAAGGGGUGCAGACCUGAAUCAUAGUGCUGGUAGGCUUCCUUUAGACACACUAAUUCUCACCUCCACCCAUUCCUCAUUCUCCUAUUAGGGUCCUUGGGGACUCUCCUUCCCAUGUACAUUGGUAACAUUUUUGUGUUAUGCCAUGCCAAGAAAGGGCGUUCUCACAUUCUAUAAUUCAAUUGUAAUAUAUUCAGGCCAGCUGGAGCCAGGGAUGAGGAACCAUUUCAGCCCAGGGGCUACAUUCCCCUAUGGGCAAACUUCCAGAGACCACAUGCCAGUGGCAGACUGUGCCAGAAGCAAAAGAGGGCAGCGGGGGACAUAUGACCUGGGUAGAGGGGUGUGUGGCCUGGGGAAAGUCCUGAAAGUCCUGGAGAGCUGCAGUUGGACCCCGUGAGCCCCACCCCUGAGCUGGAGCAUUCAUUUAGUUUUAAAACAUCUCACUUCCACUUUCUCUCUUGUACCAACAGCAUCCACACAUGCUCACAAAAAAAGUGGCUCAAAUGUGCUUCGUCAUGUCCAAGCGCAGAGUAUCUUUAGAUUGAAUCAGAAAAGUAUUUGGCCGCUUGUGCUUAUUCAGGAAUAGGACCUGGAGUGUGAAAUCCCUUGAACUCCAUUUCUGGGGUUGAGAUCUGAUUCCUAGAGCAGGAGGAAGCAGGGAGAACCAGAAUGUCUGGGUUCUGUAUGUCCUGUUUGGGAAAGGAAGGGGUUCUGGGUUUCCUAACACUGUCAGUGACUCAGGCCGCAAUCCAGUUAUUCUAGACCAUCCAGUUGCUUUUAAUAGGGCCACUCCAGAAUAAACGGUCUGUGGAAUGAAACAUCAGUGUGUUCUUCCUCUCUUUGCUCUGUGUGCCCUGAUCCAGAAUCAGUAUCCUGUAGGAAAGUAUAGAUGAACAAUGACUCCAUGGUUCAAGAUUAUUGGCAGUGUGAGACCAGCCAUGUGCUCACUUGAUUCUUGUCCAUUUAGGCUGAUUAAAGCAGCCAGGGGAAUGGGUGAGGAGAAUGGUAAAUGCCUCCUUAGAGAAAGACAUCGUUCUAUCUAACCUUAGAAUCACUGUGAAAAGACUACAACUGAAAAAACAAACACAUUCUUUAGAUCCCUCUGUAUUGGAUGACUACCCACCAGUCUCAGAUUUGCCAUUAUUGGGCAAGUUUCCAAGUGGCACCUCAGUUUUGGUAAGGGGUUGUUUGUUUUUGAUGAAAUUGAUUAUUUAGACCCCUUUCUAUCCGAUUUCAGGCCUGGUUUGGGGACUGAGACAGCUUUGGUUGCAUUGGUAGGUAAUAUUUGUCAAGAAUUUGACAGGCAGAGUAUGUCCCCAUUGGAUCUGCUGGACCUCUCAGUGAUGUUCAGCUCCAUGACCAUAAUAUCCUUCUGGAAUGACUGAUGAAGUCUUGAGUUUAGGAGGAACCAUUUUGCAGCAGUUCCACUCCUUCCUUGAAAGUCAGUUCGAAAAGGUAGAGUUGGAGGACUUGGUGCCUUGGCCACUGGGUUAUGGUGACAUGUAGGGUUAGAUCUUGUCCUCCUGAUUAUAUAAAUCUACAUGAAGCCACUGACAGAGAUCAUACAUGAAUUCAGGGUGCACUGCUACCAAUAUUUAGAUUACUUCCAACCUCACUUCUCCUUUUCAUCUAACAAAAUGAAAGCUGUUGAUGUUCUAAAAUCAGUGAGUGGAUGAGGGGUUUCAGUAACUGAAGCUUAACUCAGACAAGACAGUGGUGCUCCUAGUUAGAAAGGAGAUGAAUUCUGGAAUAGGAAUUCAAAGUGUUUUGAAGUGGCAGCUGUGGCCAGAAGUGCCUUUGGUCAGCUGAGGCUGCUGUGCCAGUUGCAUCCUGAGGUCAGACCUGGCUACAGCAGCACAUGCAUUAGUCACAUCUAGGUAGGAUUAUUGAAGCACACUUUAUGUGAGGCUGAGUGCCUAGCUGUUGGACACAGGGCUCCAGUACUGGGCUAUAUAAAUCAUUUGUGGAUGUGAGAUAGGGGAAUUAAAUUAUGUGUUGCCUCUGUGCGCAAGUAUGAAUAUGACCUGUGCUCACUAGGUGGUCUUACACAAGCCGUUAUUUCUUAGCUUGUCUCUCCCUUCCCAUUUGCAGAAUGGGGGAUAAUGACACUGAUAUAUUUUUUUUAAUGGAUUACAGCUACUGUAUUUCCAUACAGCAGUUUAUUGUGGACUCAGUGCUGCCCAUCCAUGCAAAGGUCUCUCUUUUUUGGUACAGUCCACACAACAUCCUCAUCAAAAUGCCAUCCAAUAUCCCCCCCCCCCAUUAAACCACAUUUACUGUUUCUGUGGGAUUUUAUUUACUUACUGGAUUUGCUGCAUAAACUGUAAAUCCAGUUUAAAUGGGGAAAUAAUGCAGGAUGGCAUUUAUAUGAGGACCUUUGACAAUUUGUAUUUAUUAAGUUUAUAUCCAUCCAUUCCUCCCAAAGGAGACUAGGGUGGCAAACACCAAAGUAAUGGAACAGCUGAUAAAAAAAAAUAUGAAACUGUAAACAAAAUAUCCAUGCAUGAGCAGCCCCAGACCACAGUAAACCAUUCUGUGGAAGCACCUUAACUGCAUGUGAAGCACUUUGAAGACUUGAAAUCCCAAUGCAAGUGUCAAGUAUUUGUGUUGUAGCAAGCUCACAACUUAUGCACAUUCAACUUGUGCGCGUUCAGUUUUACACAUGGGGGAGGAUACGAAAAAGUAAAUAAAGUAGGUAGGGAUCUGGGGGAAAAUGACUUUGGCAAUCCCACCUGCCAUUGAACUCAAUGUUGUUGUUGUUUUGACUAUACACGAUUUUGGCUUUAGAAGCAAUCCCCGAGACGUAACCCCCACAUAAGUUGUGGGCUUACUGUACUGUUCCAAAUGCACUGGAAACCAACCAAUGGGAACACCCUGCUGUACGCCCGGCUGUAUAUAGUGCACGUUCAUAGGCAGAUCCUGCCUCAGAAGGCCCAGACUGGCCGGACUAUUUCCUUGUCCUCUGGCUCUGUCCAUCAUGGUGUGGGAAAGCCCUGUGACUACACACGCCUCUUGUUCUCGUUUUUGCAUUGACAUUUCUGUAAAUUGGGGGGGGGGGGAUAUAAAAGUUCGUUUUGAUUCUUAGCAAAGGAAGCCCUAACCUCACUCCUGCUCCUCUUUGAUGUAUGUAUAGACUGCAAGCGCACCUUCCUCCCCGUUUCCCGAUACGAGUCAAUGCGGUCUCCAAGUCAUGUCAUCUUCCCCUUAUGUUCAUGUACACACAAAACAUUGACGGUGAGGAGGAGGGAGUCGGGGACGCGCCCGCAGAUUUCCCCCCUUAGGAGCCCCCGGGGGUUGCCCCCCCCCCUCGCGGAAGUCUUUAGCCCAGGAGCGCGCGGCGUUACUCUCCGGUGCGAGAGGCACUGUGCACGUCGGAAUUGCUCGCGGGCUCCGGGGUUACGCUCUGAAAAGCUUGUUCUGAAAGCUCGGCCAGUCGCGAGGCGAGGGUGUGUUUGUGUGUGUUGACUCUUAGCAGCCAGGCAACAUGCUUAGGGUCGCUUCGGCGCUGGGGGGCGAUACUGGAGGGGGGCUCUGCUCCGCGUUGGAUCCGCGACUCAGUCUUAAAACUAGGACCGGGGAGGAGAAGGGAACGGCCCGCUUUGCCGCCCCUCCUUCCGGCCGUUUUGUUAACCCCGGAGUGCCCGACCCCAAGGGACGUGGAACCUGAGCGGAGGAGGGGACGAGGGCAGCUCCCCGCCCCGGACUCGGCACUUUCUGUGCUGCUGACUUGGGGCUUUCGGGGAUCCCUGCCGCCGCUCCUCGGCGAAUGCGUCGGAACUGGCUCUGCCCCCGCAAAAGGGCAGCGGGUUCACCCGGGCUGCGUGCGCGCGCCUCGCCCUGCCCUCUCCCCUCCAGGAUGUGAGCAGGGUUCCAGGAAUGAGGUUGAACCCGUUGGGCCGGUCCCCGCCUGGAGGCCCCGGAACCUCAUUCCCUGGCGCUGAGCAGGCCGGACCCGGGAGCCACAACCUCUUCCCAACGGGCUGGCCCGGUGCCAGACCCAGCGGCUCCUUGGCCCGGGCUUCGUUAGGUGGGAAAGGUGGGCAUCUGCAGGCAGGGAACUUUGAAGGGGCUGGUGUGUGCCAUUUCACACACACACACCCUUUCUAAUUGACCAAACAGCUCGUUUGUGCUUCAUGAUAACUUGGCUUGUUAAAGUUUCUGGGGUCUCGCCCGUUUCUUCAGGAAUUCCGCGCUUUACCUUCUUAUUUUGCCAUCACCACGCUCCCACUUUACUGGAGGAGAAACUGAGGCUGAGAAAUCAUGACUCAGGCAAGGCUCCGUCACGCAUUGCGCCGCGCAGCAAACCCCUUGUUUGACGUGGGGCCUAGUUCUCAAGAACAGAUGAGAUGUAAACCUGUUUCCAGAUAGUACUCUUCAGGUUUCAAGAAGGGGCUCACAUGAUGGAAUGCUCACACGCUACUAAGUGUUGAAAGCUAGUGUGUUGGCAAGAUCCCUUCCUUUCUCUGUACAGGGAAUUUGGUGUGUGUAGGUGUAAUUCAGUCAUGUGACAUGGCACCAUCCUGACACCAGUUUACUAUCUCAUCUGCUGUGAGAAGUAGGGAGCCACAGUCAGCUUCACUUCCCUGGCAAUAGUACCCCUAUAAUAUAUGCUUUUGCAUACAAAGCUUCUUGCAAACAUGCCUUGUAUUUUUUAAACAAACAAACAAACACUUAAAGUAUUUUAUUCGUGUUGUUGUUUAGUCGUGUCCAACUCUUUGUGACCCCAUGGACCAGAGCACACCAGGCACUCCUGUCUCCCACUGCCUCCCGCAGUUUGGUCAAACUCAUGCUGGUAGCUUCAAGACUGGAGUACAUUUUAUUUGUACUCCACUCUUAAUCCAUGGCUAGGAUUCCUGCUCCUUCAGGUUCAUCAUGCUAUCUACUAGUGUUGGUGUCCAGUUUAUGACGAACACCAUGAACUUGGGUCUAAGGGGGAACUCGUGAGAUCAGGAGGAGCAGGGCUUUGGUGGUCCAUUGCUAGAGAUGAAAAAAAAUAUAUAAGGGAUACUUGGGUGGUUUGGUCUCUGUAGCCUCUGAAACUGGGUAUUUCAGAAUGAAAGAACUUUAAAAUAAGGGGUAUUCCCUCAAAUCAUAAGACAUCUAGCACCUCUAACCUCUUCUCUCUGCCCCAUUCUCUGGGGGCAAGAGCACUGGGAGAGUCAGUGGAGGAGGGGAGUUGAAGGAUCUUCUGGAGCAACAGCCUCUGUCUCUGACAUCAGACACUUCCUCUCACUCUCAACCACUUCCUGAGCAGCAGCACAUUAUUUUCUGCUGGUCGACUGCAAAGUAGAGACCGGGCAUGGGGGGAGGGAAUACAUGCUUGCAAGCACAUGGCAAGGGAAUGGCGGGUUGGUUUUGCUGCAUAACCUCUCCUGAUUUUCUACCCUGAAAUGUAAAACUUGGAAAUAAGAGUUCACUUGCACUCCAGUGCUCGCAGUCUCAGCCUCCCUCCCCCACAGCAGCAGGAAGUCUGGAAGCUGGAGUUCUCUCUCGGCUCUGCUACCGACUCCCUUGAGUUCCUUGGGAAAGUCCCUGACACUCCCUAGCUCUUUUCCCCAUUAGCUCAAUUAGAAUAACAAUAAAAAAACGCUUGGAACCACCCAUUUGAUCUCUGACACGUUUAGGGCAGGGAGGUUUUAAUGAUUUUAUCAUUAGGAUCCUUAAUGAACAUGGCAGGAUUCUAGGUUUUGAAACGGAGGUGAUGUACUAGGGACAACUGCCAGACCCUAUAGCUCUUGGGUACCCAGGUGUUCAGUGCUUGCCUCCUAGAACUGUCUGGAAGAGGCACAGGAAAACAUUGGCAGAGGCUCUUGAGUCUCAAGGUGGGGCGGGGGAUUGCUGAGGGGAACCCAUUCUUUGUGGUUCAAGGCUGGCUCUGACUCAUACCUGGGCUAGAAGCUACUCUGCAAAGCUGACCCGACUAGAAUACCCCUUCUGGAUUGUCUGAACUGUCAACCUGUCCUCACAUAACCUGUCUGGGCCUGUGGUUUGUCAUGUUCUAACAAGGCUAUGCCAUCCCUUUCAAGUGUCCUACCCUGACUGAAGCACAUCCCCUUUUCUGACUGAGAUUCUCACCAUGUGUUUAUGUUCUUCUCCAUUUCUCUACCAGCAUGUUUAUCAGGCUGCUGGAGACUGUUGUGGUAGCAACCACAGAAACUACCAGCGAAACUCCUUCAGAUAUUGCAGGCUCCCUAUAUUUCUAGGCAGGAUUGUGAUUGUUAGAAAAAUCUAACACGUUCUCUCAAAUACCUGUGUCCCCCUAGUUUUUCCAAAAGCAAUUCCAAUUUUACAGAGUGACUCACCUGUAAAUGUCAUCCCUGCUCUCUAGGGCCUUCUGAUACAGGUUAUCUGAAUCACGACUUUGUGCCUGGGGAAGACAUCUAGAACUGAGGAUCAAUAGAACUGAGUGGGACUGACUUUGUCUAGAAUAUAUUUCCCAGCUGGGUUUGGAUGAACCUCUCCCCUUGGGGUAACACAGUGUGGGAAGGGAUGGAUGAGAGAAGAAAUGGGGAGCCUUUGCCUCUUCCUAUGUUGUUGUGCUAUAACUCCCAGCAUCCCUGUUGUCUUGGGCUAAUGGGAGUUAAGAGUCCAACAACAUCUGGAAGGCCACAGCAUCCCUGAAUUAGAGCCAGCUUCGGUUUACUGGGCCAUGUGAAUCUUAUGAUCCCAGAGAUCAAAACACUGGGAGACAAUUGGUGUGAUUCUUUGGAGAGAGUUGUGAUGUUUAGGAGUAUUUUGCAAACAUUUAGGGUUCAGUUCACUCAUGGGAGGAGGAGAUUGUCAAAAAAGAAAGAAAGAAAGCCCAAUUGCUCUUUCCAUCCCAGCCUGUGCCAUCCCACGCAGCUGUCUCCCAGCUGUGUAAAGGAGUAUAUUUAUAGGAAGGAGAAGUUGAGCAGGCCUUAAAGUCCCUAAAAUUCAUGGGUGUCGGUCAAGCAGAGGAAGAGAAAAAACAGGAGGAAGAAAAGAACAUUCAGAGCCAGGGAGCCUCGCAACAGAAUAAAAUGACUUGCAGCGGCCCUUGCCUCCUAAUUAAUUAAUUAACCCCAAUUUUUAAAAAAUUCUGGAGUAACUACUGUUUUCCUGGAACUUCACAAUCAAAAAUAUGAAUUGUACACACACACACAGAGAGAGAGAGAGAAAUGCUCUAAAAGUUGUAUUACGGCUAUUCUAUAUCUAUCUGCCUAUCUCUCUCUUAAAAACACAUUUUUUCAGCCAGCUCUUCAGCCAAAAGGGUUCCCAGAGCAGCUGACAAAGUUCACUAAUAAUUCAUAAUUCAUUUACUGCAAAUACGGGACACCCAAGGGGAAAUAAUGUGUGUUAAAUCUGACCUUGAACAUGAGAGUUGUCGAUCCACCCUUGGAUUCUUGCCAUAGCCUAGCAAAAAACCAGUGCUACAGUUUUCAUAUAUCUGGUUUUAAAUUUCUAAAAGGAGGUGUUGGGAUUCAUGCCUAUCUGGAAGUCUUCCUAUCCCCACCCCUGUACUCUUUAUCACAGAUACCCAACAUCUGGUUGUGGUUACAUAUGCUACAAUGAGAUAUUCUAUAGCUAUGUGCUCCAAACAAAGCCAGGGCUUUGGCACUGGAAAGAGGUUCCCAAGCUAAGCCCUAAUAAAUCCUGUUAUCCUUUCACUCCUUCUUUUGGUUAAAGCUUUGGUGUUACGUGCACUUGGGAAAGUUCUCCAUUUAACACCUUCAAGGAGUAACCCCCAUUCAACACAAUGGGACAUUUCCAAGUAAACAUAGUCAGGACUGUGCUGUAAAAGAAAAGGGAGGCUUGUAGAAGCAACAAAGCAACAAGAAGGGAAGUCUUCAGUUCCUGGGGGUUGGGAGGAAUUGGCACCCUGCCUUAAAAAUGCAGAGCAGAAAAUCUUUAAUAAAAACAAUUUUUAAAAAUGCAGAGCAGAACAGAUGGACACAGCAAGCCCAGGACACUGGGCUCUCAAGCAUGGAAGUCAAAACUUGGGAUAAAAAAAGAGGUUUGGAGGUGGAGAGGCAUACAACGAUUAAAAGAACUGGGAUGUGGUUGGUGCUUCAAAGCAAUAGUAAGAAGUAGAGACUAGGUUGGAAAUACAAGAUUUUAAAAUUUUAUUGUCAAUUUCUGGGCUAUGCGAAUUAAUGAGCCUCCCAGUCAAACACACCAUUCACAUACACUGGUACCUCAAGUUACAGACACCUCAGGUUACAAACUCCGCUAACCUGGAACUAGUACCUCGGGUUAAGAACUUUGCCCCAGAAUGAGAGCAGAAAUCGUGCAGCGGCAGUGCGGCGGCAGCAGGAGGCCUGAUUAGCUAAAGUGGUACCUCAGGUUAAGAAUGGACCUCCAGAACGAAUUAAGUUUGUAACCAGAGGUACCACUGUACUCAGACUUAAAAGUGACCAGAAUGAUGAGAACUUAUCUGCACCCAGAAGCUCACACAAGCUGUUUCUGGCCCUUUCUGCAGAUAGUUCAACUCCUUAGCAGUUAGAGUGUUCUUGACUAUUCUGUGACACUUCCGUCAACUCAGCCAAUAGCAAAGGGGGCUAAUUGCUUUGACAUCCUUGCUUUUGUGACAUCACUGCAAUUCAGACACGGCUAUGCAGUUCUAAACGACAGCAACCUAGGUACAUAGUGUAAAUGUUCAUCUUUUUGGGGGGUGGGGUGGAAUCCUUGUGUCUUGGGGAAGGAGUUGGCAAGUGGGGGGGUGCAUAACAAAAUGAGGAUAAAGAAUCUUGUGGCUAAGCAGAUUAUAGGAAGCCGCAGUGCAAAACAAUGGGGAACCACUGGAGUAGGGGAUGGGUGGCAGGACUGCAUGGGAUUCAGUUCAGGCUUGAGGGUUUACCUUUUAUAGUGUUUGUUUCCCCUAUAAUUAGCCAAGUGUUCUUGUGCAUUGAGAAAGCUCCAGGUGUGGCCAGUUAAAGGGCUUUAAGUGCUGACUCAGGCUUUGCCACCCCCUCCCCCUUUCUGUCCCCGAGAUGCACUGGUCUGGCCAGUCUGGGUGCCAGGCCUCCUAUUGUAGCAAAGCUUGGAAACGACGCCAACCUGGCGCCGUGCUCUGCCCAGCCCUGGCUAGCAGGGAGGUGUCUCUAGCCCAGAUGCUCCUGCAGGGGCAGGUUUCUCCAGGGUGGAACGUGCCUGUGUGGAGUGAGGCUGGGCUGGAGACCAGGCGAGAGGGAUCCUCCUCUAGGGAAGUAUUUUGCAUACCCACCGGCUUCUCUCACCACCUUGGUAGAGUGAGUUGCCUCCCAGUGAACAAGCUGUGAAGGCCCAUUCCCUUUGGACCUGACCAGCAUCCCUAAACGGCUUUCUCUGUAAGCUUAUGCACACAUCUGUCAGCAGGUCUUCAUUCUGCUCUGCAGUCUGCCUGUGCUGAGAUCUUGCGCCUUUAACAACAGAGGCUACAGGCAUAGGUUCAGCAAGGGAAGCUUCCCCACUGUCGGAUCACAUUGCUAGGUGAAGCCGCGCCUACGGAAGCUGUUAAAGGCACAGGGUCCUGUUAAAAAGAAUGACAGUAAACAAACAUUUGUGAUUGUGACAUAAGAAAUAUCAUUAGUGAAUCACAAUAUAAUUUAUGGUGAAUUACAUCUAACUAUAAUUUUAUUAUUAUUUUUUAACAUAUUUUUUAUUAAAGAUUUCUUGGUUUACAAAAGUAUUAGCAGUGUCUCUUUUUUCAAGUUACAUUUUCUACAGAUCAGUUUCAUCUGUUGAGAUAUUAGUGUUACAUUAGGAAGAAGAGGGGGAAAGAGGUGGAGGGGGCCAUAGUGAGUGGAGUUGGGUGGCUCGCCAAGUGAUUUGGGGCCAGUUUUCACUCUCAACCUGGCCUACCUCAAAGGGUUGUAGUGAGAAAAGAAUGGGGAGUAGCAGUACUGUGGACACCACCUUGAGCUCCUUGGAGGAAAGGUGAGAUACAAAUGUAAUAAUGAAUGAAUAAAUAACCCACUUUGCCUCCAAAGAGCAUACGUGAUCCUUCCCCUUGCCCAUUUUUUGUUGUCACAACAGCCCUGAGAGGAAGGUUAAGCCAAGACAAGACAUAGUGACUGUCCUGGGGUCGCCUGGUGAGUUUCAUGGCUGGGGGGCAGGUGGUGGAUUUGAAUCCUAGCAUUAUAGAUCCCAAUCCUGCACUCUUAUCACUGCAACACACUGGCUGUCAUAUUGUACCUUUUCUGUGUUGCGUGUGCGCAAUGUUUUUUCCCUCUCUCUCUCUGCUUUAGGGAUGACUGCUUCUUCCCUGUUUUACUGCAUUGGACUUACCUGCAACCUCAGUAUAUCGCCAAAGCUACCAUGUACAAAUGUAGGUGUUAAACAGGCAGUAUGAACAAGACAGGAAUUAAACAAUGUUUGCAAAAAAGAAAAGAAAAGAAUGACAGUAGCCUUGUAUGUUCAAACAACUGCCUUACUACAUUGUUUGCUUGUGCAUGUGUGGGUUUGCCAAUCCCGCCCCCUGGACAGAGCUCCUGUGCCUUUAAUAGAUGCAUGGCAGAUAAAAAUUAUUGUCUUCCAGUGAAGACUUGGAAUUUCAUGAGAAUGUGGUAGUACCCUAGAGAUCCUCCACUCCAGUUUCUACAUUGUGGUUUCCUAAACUUGGGUCUCCAGCUGUUGUUGGACUACAACUCCCAUCAUCCCUAGCUAGCAGAGCCAGUGGUCAAGGAUGGUGGGUAUUGUAGUCCAAAAACAGCUAGAGACCCAAGUUUGGGAAACCCUGUUCUACAUCCCCUUCAGCACUGCCUCCUCUGCCUGAAAUGUGCUUUUAAAAUUCUGGAUAAAUCACAGGAGGAUGUUGGGGGGUUGGUUCUGUUCUGCCUACUGCCCAGUUUGAAGGGCUGGUGGGAAUGGCUCUUGCAACAUGAACCCAUGCCUCAUUGCUGUGUGAGUCAAGCACAGGCAGGGCCAGACCUAUUGUAAGCCAUAGUAAGGUGGUUGUGUCAAGCGGCAGAGGGGUGGGGGUGGGGGAAGCACCACCAAAAGUCCUCCCCACUAUGUUUGCAUGGCAUGAUCUAAGCAAUAUGAGGUUUCCAGAUCCUGGGUGAAAUACUAAAUCCUUCUAUGCCAGUUACUCUCAGCUAUUUCUUUAAUAAUAGUGGGAAGAAGUUUUUAUCUCCGAGAAGUAUUGCAUUAUUGAUACGAGCCUCGAGUCUUUAGCAGCAUGAGUCUGUGUGAGUGGCUGUUCUUCUUUCUCUCCUGCAAAGACACUAUUGCUUGGCCCGCACUGCUUCUCAGGACUUUCUUGGGAUAAUUCCAAAUAUCCCAUUUAUUGACUGGCUUGGAAAUCAUCUUGAUGAUAGAUGAUAUAUAUAUUUUGUAUGGCUGAUUUGUAUUUGGUAUGCCCCCCCCUUUUUUGUAAAUAUAUGUUCAGUCGCUUCAGCUUUUGUUGCCACUGACAGCUGUUGAAGGGGAUCAGAUGGAAUUUGGCAGGACAUGUUGGAGGUGGCAGAGCUGGAUUGCGUUGUUCAGGUUCAGCAGGCAAUUUUCAUAUCAAUACAUUGGUGGGUUCGAAGGCGGCCGUAGAAAGAAUGAGCCAAUCUUGGAGGAUGAGAUCUUGAUCCUGGAGUCUCACACUCAAGUUUGGCCAUUUUCAGAUUCCCCAUUGAAAUCUUUGUGCCAGGGCAAGGAGGAGUGUUGGAAGCUAUGGAGCUGCAGCUGCAACUGUUAUCUUCUAAGAGCGCAAUACACAGUUUAAUCAUGGAAGAGUAUUUUCCUGACAACACUAAGUUCUAGAAACCUAGAUGCUUUAAAAAUAAAAUAAAACCACAGGUGCCCUAUCUAUUUAAUCAGAAGAGAAGUGCCAUGAAUGAAAGAGACGGGUGAGGAAAGCUUACAUUCUGGCAAUGGGACUAUACUGUUAACACUUGGGAUCUAUCUCAUAUACAGUAUCCCACUGAAACCACUUAAAAACUCCUCAGCAGGAAGAAAAACAAGCAUGCAUUCUCAUAUAGACUUUGGGUGGAGGGCUUCCCACAAACAGGUUUUCAUUUUUCUCUGCCUCGAAAGUAUCCCACUUGCUUUUUUAGGGGGAAGGGCAGAGGCAUGCAUUGCUGCACAGGCUGAGUAGGAGGCAGACGGGCACAGCCCUGGGAUGGGCAGAGACACGAAAUGCCAGGAUUAGAAACUCCCUGCCCUUGGCACUAAUCCCUAACUGUUCAGAGAAGCCAUAGCUUGGCCAAGCCCCUUCUUCACCCACCCACCCACCCACCCACCCACCCUCCUCCUACCCUGAGUCUCUGAACACAAGUAAAAAGGGGUGGCUUGGUUUUUUGUAUGUUAUGUGGGGAGGGGCAUAUGCAGAUCUGUAAAGAAAUGGCUUGAGGUGGUUGGAGUCAAACAGAACCAAAAAGAACCAGGCUGAGAUUGGGUUGGAAAAGCUGUAUCUGGCUGAUGGAGAAAGGCAUAGAAAGCAGGUGCGGAAACCAGCACUGGAUGAGCAGUGGGGUCUGCUGAUUAGAGAGAGAUAGAGAACAAAGGAGCAUUUCUUACAUUUGGCUUCGGAUUUCUGAGCCUGGUUGAAAAUUGGGAACUAGGAUCCUGUGGAGUGAGUUGGGUCUGGUUUUGAGCAAAUUGGAACCAGCUUAAUAUCCAUCUUUCAGAUUUCCAGCUGGCUGGCAACAUAAAGGUAGCAUGCUGCUGGCUACACCCAGUGCCCCGAGUACAUUCUUCUGGGACUCUGUGCCCUGUGGCCAGGCCUGGCUCUGUUACAGCCUCUCCCCUGAUAAGAGCCCUACCUCUGUCUCUGUUUUUAUGACUGUCUGGCGUUUAGUCCAGACCAGGUUUGUUUAUUUCUGUCAGAGACCGUUCAAGUGGGAGUCUCCAUAUGCAUGUCCCAAUUGGAGAGGGCAGCUAAGGGCUGCUGGCUGUGCUGGAGCCCGUGCGUGAGCACAGUUGAUCCUUUUGUGGUGGAUCAGCGGUGGAUCAGCAUGUGGUGGAUCAGGACACAGCAUUCAUCCUUUUGUGGUGCAUUCAUCCAUGUACAGGUGCCAGCCAUAACCUUCCCCAUUUCAGACACUCCCCAAAGGCAGAAGAGGCUGCUACAUUCCUCUCUCCCUCUGACAGCACAUGAGCAUCUGUGUAGAGGCUGCUCUGUUACAGUAAUCAUGGAAUAAAAACUCCUCUCUCUCUAGUUCUGAACUUUCAGUCUUCCAAGCUGGGGUUGCAGGCAUGUGUUAGUUGCAUUGUGGGUAAAAACACACACCCUGCUGUUUUGCAGCUGUUUGCCAGCAACAUAAGUCUUCAGUUGAUCUCUGUGUUUUUUAUUUUCUUUCUAAAAGUGGAUUCAAAUCCCUACUUCACUCAUAAGGUCAUACUGGAAAAACCACCAUUUUACUACACAGUGUCUGAUUAACUGUGCAGUCUUAUGCAUUGUAUUCAAUGGGAGUUACUCCCAGGUUAAGUGUAUAUGGCAGUGAAGGGUUACCCGCAGCCUUGACUUAAUUUUACAUGAGUAACAAGGAGGGGAAGGGGAAGGGGAAGGGGGGGAGAGGGAAGGAGAACUCGGCCUGCUUUUGGCUCAGGUCCCAACAAGAUUAGUGUUCGGCCAGCAGCAACAAUGACUGAAGUGGAGUACCUGGCCUUUUUGAACAGAGAGCUUAGUUGGAGACGAGUGCUUGCCUUGUGUUUGGGAGACACCACUCCCUACUGUCCGAAGAAGAGUGUGUUAGGGCAAUUCAGUUCAGACAGGACACAGCAUCCACAUGUAAUAAAGGCUGGGAGGGGGGCAGGAGUGAGAGCCAAGGGUGAGUCACAGGAUUUCAGCUGUAUAGCAUUGCUGCCCCCUUCUCUAGUUUACAUGUGUGGGGUGCCUGGCCCCCCUUGUGGUUGGAGUGGAGCAUGGGUUGCUGUUGGGUGUGUCUGGAGUUCCAAAGUGACCUGCCUGUUGAGUCCUAGGCUGGAAAGCGCUAUCAAAGUGCUCAGGUUCCUCUCUGUGUUCUGGUGCCGGCGUUAUAUUCCAGUUAUCAUCAGGGAAUGUGCUAUCCUUGCUUGGGGAUUCAUCCUAGCUGAGGUAAAAUGUCCUUUGGGACAAGAUAUAUAUAUAAAAAUACGACGGGGGAAGUAUAUUCACAAGAUAUGCUCUCUUACAGUAAAGUUAAAGGAAAGCUAUUUCAGGAUCAAAAAGCUACAUGGGUAUUUCCAGUAGUCACUUAAAGUUUCUUCUGGAUUUUGUUCUUUGUGUAGAAGAAUUUUGAGGGUUCUGAUAUGGCAGUUCAUUGGCACCUGCUGUGCCUCUCUGGAUGGCAGAGCUGUCCCAGUCCUGAUUAUUUCCCCUUCCUCCUUUGGAUAAUUCAGCGGGGGCGGAGGUGGGUGUUAUAUUUAGUGCUUCCUAUCCAAUGAUCCCAAAGGGCUUUCCACAGAUGGGGAAGCUGAGGCCACAGUGGGGAAGUGAGUCACUCAGCUUCAGAUGCUGAAUCAGUAAUAGGCCCAGGAAUAGAACCCAAGAGUCCUGACACCAAACUCCUCCCAAAAUCUGGAUGGUCUCAUUCCUUUAUCAGAGAUUGCAAAUGCUUUAAUCUGUUCCUAUGUGUGGUUUUCCGUUUUCAGAAGGAAGUCUCAAAUGGGGCUCGCUCACAAGUAAGCCAGUAUGAGAUUGCUUAAGGCCGUGUUCCUCUGUCUGCUUACUUUGUAGUAGCUCCAACUAUACAAAGUGGAGUUUACUGAGUAAACCAACGUAGGAUUGAACUGCAUGCAGGGAUACAUUAAAGUCUAGCUGAAUUUGGUUUUUACGAUGUAUGCUUUGAAUCCUACAGAUUUAAAUGGGGGUUGGGGGUCUAUUAGGCUGUAUUGUAGGCAUCUGUCUGUCCUGAGAUACAUAGACUGCACCACUGGAAGAGAAGUCAAACCAUUGCAUAAGAAGUACUGAAGUGACCUCCCCCCCAGGGUGCAAGCCUGGGCAGUGUGUAUGGAGGUCCUGGACUGCCCAGAUAACAGGACCCCAGUCUUGGCCUCACUGAUGUGAUCCAAAGGAAAGCAGAGCAAUCCAUUUUGCACCAGUUUGGCUGCAGGAGUUGCUGGAAGGAAGUAUACAAGGCGCCAUCCAACUGUCUUAGGGACUCCUCUCCAGAUUUAUGUAGGGUUUACUCAUCCUUUUCUUCUCCCAUAGAUAUCCUGUAUACCAUACAUUUAAAGUGCACAACUUUCCCCAAUGAAUCCUGGGAAUUGUAGCUCUGUUGAUAUAAACUACAGUUCUCAGGAUUCGGGGGUGGGGGGAGCUCUUUAAAUGUGUGGACACAACCAUAGAGUUUAUUAUACCAACUGCAUUAAGGAUUGGGAGACAACCAUACACAUACUUUUAUGGAAGUUAGUCUAAUUGAACUUAAUAGGACCUACAUUUGAGCAAACAUAUUUAGGGUCAAACUAAAGGAGUGGUCCUAUUCUUAGGGUUGUAUCCAGCUGAGUUCUGCUUAGAGGAGAUCCAUUGCAGCUUUUGAAGUUAGUCAUGCCCAUUAAUUUCAAUGGGUAGGACCAGACUGUUUACCUGAUAGUAAAGCCAAUGGAACUCAAUGGGCCUGUCUUCUGAGUAGAUAUGCAUGGUUCCUAUAGGGAUAAAGAGUUCUUGAGUUAACUCAGGCCCAGCCACUUUACAGCUUUCAAGUUCAGAGUCAUCUCUUUCAAUUGUGCCUUGGAUAAUUGUGGACUAUACCAAGAACCACUACUUUUCGAUAGAAAAAUGGUUUGAGUGAGUAAUGGUAAACCAUCACAAUGUCUCAGUCAGGGAUACCAAUAGCAUUUUCUAGGCCAAGCACACUAGAUGAGGAUUCAGAUUUACGGUAGGUUUGAUGAGCCCUAAGCUACUGAAGGUAAAUGGGCCCUUUAUAUGUCCAGCUGUCCUUUGUCAACAACAAAUUGUCACUGUUUUUUAUGUUGAAUAUAUGCUAUAUGGUAAUUUAUGGACCUAAUAGGUAUCUAAAGCCAUUUGCACAUAACAAAAUAUGUAUUUUAUCAAAGUAAUUGUUGAACUGAAAUACAAUUAAGAAGAAGUCUAUUAAUAGCAAACCAGUGAUAUUUUAGGGAGCAGGCUAGCAGGCAGGGCCCAUUACUUACAUCAUAAAGGUAAAGGUAAAGGUACCCCUGCCCGUACGGGCCAGUCGUGUCCGACUCUAGGGUUGUGCGCCCAUCUCACUUAAGAGGCCGGGGCCCAGCGCUGUCCGGAGACACUUCCGGGUCAUGUGGCCAGCGUGACAAAGCUGCUCUGGCGAGCCAGCACCAGCGCAGCACACGGAAACGCCGUUUACCUUCCCGCUAUAAAGCGGUACCUAUUUAUCUACUUGCACUUAAGGGUGCUUUCAAACUGCUAGGUGGGCAGGAGCUGGGACCGAACGACGGGAGCUCACCCCGCUGUGGGGAUUCGAACCGCCGACCAUACGAUCGGCAAGUCCUAGGCACUGUGGUUUUACCCACAGCGCCACCCGCGUCCCUACUUACAUCAUAGGAGCCUACAUAACACAAAACAAAACACUGUUGCUGUAUGUAGGUUUUAUUUUAUUUGUUUUUUAUCUUAUAUUUUGGAAAUGUAAAUCCAGUGUUUUUCCUUUAAUUUUUUUGGGGGGCCCCCAAGAGAGUAAGGCCCUAAGCUAUAGCUUGUUUAGUCUAUACGUAAAUCCGGCACUGAUUGAGACCUCUGGCCCAGUUGUGAAAGAGGAUACAAAUUUGCAUAACAUUUUCACAUGCUUCCUGUGUGUGGCAGCUUGCAUCCUCCUUUCCAAGUGGGGUGGAGAGCUCAAAAAUAAAAAAGGGGCCAUGUGGAACUGAAAAGAUGUCUGAUAGACAGAAUGUAAUCAGGUGAAACUUUCCCCAUCAUUUUAUUUUGAUUCUAGAAAAAAACAACCUGUUGGAUUCCUGCCUGCCACACAGCUCUAAAAUGCAGAAGAGCCCUGCGCUCCCCUAGUGCCAACCCUAAAUCAUGAAAACAAUUCAAGUUUGAUGAGUUGUACACCAGCUAUGUUAUUGUAUCUUUUUUCCAUCAGUUGUUACUGGGCUGGCAAUACUACAUUCAUUCCAAACCAGGUAUACUUCUGAUGGCAGUUAGAAGGGGGCAAGGGGAGGUUAAAAGAAAUUUAACAUUUACAGUAAUCAAAAGUUCAGGUGCCCAUGCUUCUAUAAAUUCCAGAUUAAAUUGUCAAAAAGCAUGUAGUGUAUUCUAAGAGCAUUUGCUGUGAUUAUUUUUUAUACCUCAUAAUCACUACACUAGGGUUUACAGCACAGGUCAAACAGCCACUUUUUUCUCUCUCUCUUUUUCCUUUAAGUAAAAAGGAUUUAAGUUUUUAACAUGAAUAUAUCCACAGUGGUACCUCUGGUUAAGAACUUAAUUCGUUCUGGAGGUCUAUUCUUAACCUGAAACUGUUCUUAACCUGAAGCACCACUUUAGCUAAUGGGGCCUCUCGCCACCACUGUGCGAUUUCUGUUCUCAUCCUAAAGUAAAGUUCUUAACCCGAGGUACUAUUUCUGGGUUAGCGGAGUCUGUAACCUGAAGCGUCUGUAACCUGAAGCGUCUGUAACCUGAAGCAUCUGGAAGAAGAAGAAGAAGAAGAAGAAGAAGAAGAAGAAGAAGUAGAAGAGUUUGGAUUUGAUAUUCUGCUUUAUCACUACCCGAAGGAGUCUCAAAGCGGCUAACAUUAUCCUUUCCCUUCCUCCCCCACAACAAACAGUCUGUGAGGUGAGUGGGGCUGAGAGACUUCAGAGAAGUGUGAUUGGCCCAAGGUCACCCAGCAGCUGCAUGUGGAGGAGCAGGGACAUGAAUCUGGUUCACCAGAUUACGAGACUACCGCUCUUAACCACUACACCACACUGGCUCUCAACUGUAACCCAAGGUACCACUGUAUUUUAGUGUUAUACCAGCAGCAAUAAUCCAUCCCCAGGAAGCCCUCCAUGACUGUAAAGUAACAAACUAUCCCUACCCAACAUGUUGUUCCUACAAUCACCUUAUCCCCCCACAAAACCCCUGCAUUUCCUAGAAUUAAAAACAAACCCAAUACACCAAUGGACAGGAUAACAACACUAGCCUACACUGCAGGAUUGCCAUAUCCUGCUCUCUUUCUCAUCACCCCUGCCCCAGCAAUAUUAAUACAGCAACACUGGGUUACUCAGCAGGGCUGAUAUAACCCAUGUUUUCUCAGCCAUAAUAGCCACAAUCCUGCCAUACAGAUAUACUAAUGAUGGGUUUUAUUUUUAUUUGCACUAGCAAAGUAAUUUUAAAAUAAUGUUUACUCAGAAAGCGCACGCAUAUACACACAUAGUUUUUAAGAGUGAAAAGGCAUGGUCUCCUCUCUUUGCUGCUUUUUUGUUUUUGGAUGGACAUGCACAGCUAUAUUUAACUCUUGGAUUUCUCAAUUAUUUUUUUCUGGGCAACAGUCGCUUCUCUACCAAGGAAGAUGGAAAAAUACAGCUUCAGAAUGAACCAGGAAGUGUCUUCUCCACUGUCUGGAUAAUGGAUGUCCUGGGUCAUUUUUGAAGUCAUUUUUGGACCUUCUUCAGGCUUGGAUGACUCUAAAUUUCUCUCUAUCACUAGUCAAUCACAUCUCUGACUUCACCCAUUGGCUAAAAACACUGAGAGAUGAGAGCAGGCUUUUUCCUCAUAGUGCAGUUGUUUUGAAUGGUGCCUGUAAAUUUUGCUUCAUAGUGUUUGUUCCAAAAUGCUGAGAGGCUAAAUUUUAAAAAGAAAAGAAAACUCAGCUGCAGGCCCCACCCUCUGGCUCUGCUCCUGGUACAAAUGUACCACCUGCACCCUUAUCUUGGUG